CCCUACGGGACGCAGCAGUAGGGAAUCUUCCACAAUGGGCGAGAGCCUGAUGGAGCAACGCCGCGUGGGUGAAGAAGGUCUUCGGAUCGUAAAACCCUGUUGUUAGAGAAGAAAGUGCGUGAGAGUAACUGUUCACGUUUCGACGGUAUCUAACCAGAAAGCCACGGCUAACUACGUGCCAGCAGCCGCGGUAAUACGUAGGUGGCAAGCGUUAUCCGGAUUUAUUGGGCGUAAAGGGAACGCAGGCGGUCUUUUAAGUCUGUUGUGAAAGCCUUCGGCUUAACCGGAGUCGUGCAUUGGAAACU
rnacentral:rRNA from 1 species